GUGGGGAAUCUUAGACAAUGGGCGCAAGCCUGAUCUAGCCAUGCCGCGUGAGCGAUGAAGGCCUUAGGGUUGUAAAGCUCUUUCGUGGGGAAAGAUAAUGACUGUACCCCAAGAAGAAGCCCCGGCUAACUCCGUGCCAGCAGCCGCGGUAAUACGGAGGGGGCUAGCGUUGUUCGGAAUUACUGGGCGUAAAGCGCACGUAGGCGGACUGGAAAGUCAGGGGUGAAAUCCCGGGGCUCAACCCCGGAACUGCCUUUGAAACUCCCAGUCUUGAGUUCGAGAGAGGUGAGUGGAAUUCCGAGUGUAGAGGUGAAAUUCGUAGAUAUUCGGAGGAACACCAGUGGCGAAGGCGGCUCACUGGCUCGAUACUGACGCUGAGGUGCGAAAGCGUGGGGAGCAAACAGGAUUAGAUACCCUUGUAGUCC
rnacentral:rRNA from 1 species